UACAGAGGGUGCAAGCGUUAAUCGGAAUUACUGGGCGUAAAGCGCACGUAGGUGGUUGAGUAAGUUUGAUGUGAAAGCCCUGGGCUUAACCUGGGAAUUGCGUUGAAAACUGCUUAACUUGAGUCGGAUAGAGGGCAGUGGAAUUUCCGGUGUAGCGGUGAAAUGCGUAGAGAUCGGAAAGAACAUCGGUGGCGAAGGCGGCUGCCUGGGUCCAGACUGACACUGAGGUGCGAAAGCGUGGGGAGCAAACAGG
rnacentral:rRNA from 1 species